CCGACAUCUUCUUGUUUUGAUCUCUUUACUUGUCGCUCUGUUCUGCCUCUCCCUGAGGUAAGUCUUAAACAUCAGCAAUCUUAUCAGUCAGUUAAAAGUAAAGUUUGGCUCUAAUUGCAGCGCACCAAACCUUACUUUUUAAAGACGAUUGCCUCUGACUUUUAAAGCGGCCACAAGAUCCGAGGACUGGCUUGACUAUGUUGAGGUUGAGGUUCAAGUGAUGGGCCCUCUAGAAUUUCAACUAAAUAUUAAGGCGUGUAAAACAUGUGGAUGGAAAUUAAGGAAGUUAAAUUGAUUUAAACCUUUUUUGUUGGAUUACUUAUGGCUAAGCUGAUGGAUAUUGCAACUCUGAUUUCUUUACAAUCAUGUUGGAUUAUUUGAUGGCUAGGCUCAUGGAUAUUGCAACUCUGAUUGCGUCAAUCACAGAUUAAUGUUUUGGAUUUUUUUUUGUAACAUUUGUGAAGCUCUGUAAUCUCGCUGUAAAAUGCUCUUUAUGCAUUUCUACAAUUCAAAUCAUCCAACAUGAUUGACGCAAUGUAUUCUAUA